rfam:Branchiostoma floridae genomic scaffold BRAFLscaffold_168, whole genome shotgun sequence.
AUACUUACCUGGCAGAGAUGGCACGUUGAUCAUGAAGGACGUCCGUCCAGGGCGAGGCCCGACCAUUGCACUCCGGUUGGGUUGACCCUUGCGAUUACCCCAAAUGCGGGUAACUCGGCUGCGUAAUUUAUGAUAGUGGGGGUCUGCGUUCGCGCUAACCCCCG